CUCCAAGGCUCAAGUAAUCAAAACCCACUUAACGCAUUUCCUUUCUUGCUUGAUCAGGCGAUGAACAAAAGACCUUGUAAAGUGCACCUGCCAAUGAGUUUAUAAUAGACGCCACAGGCUGCAAAAGAACGUUUGAUUUCUCAAGUUUUUGUGGAAAUUUAAAACUAAUCUUUUUGAGGUCCAAUCUAAUAUCUCGCCUUUCUAAUGGUAUAGAAGGAUUCAGGAUACUCACAAAGGGUAAAUCUGUCAUGUUGAAGGCGUCCCCUUGUAUGUAGAUCAAUGAUCAAAUUUGGUUACUGAUUUGGUUGAAUCUCUGAUUGUACACUCUGCAUUAGCGACUGGCUUAAUUCUGAGACCCCCCAAAUUAGGCUUUGUCGAACUGGGUGAAAAAUCUCUUGUGUUCAUUUGCUGCUUUGGGGUUGAUUGUUUUUAUCAUUUCUGAUGUUGAUUCAAAUUUGAGGGUUAAAUAUCCAAUACUCCUUGUAGGACACCUGGGGUGGGCUGAGGAUCUGCCGGCAUGCUUCUAUUUGGCAUUGUUCUUAUGUUUCCUUUGUCAAUUGCGGCAAGAAAUGCAUCAUACAGCUGAGUAGGAAU
rnacentral:lncRNA from 1 species